AAUAAACAAACCAUGGUUUUUGUGUUUAAUGUUUGACCGUCUGUCUUAUUUAAAAAAAUUAUGAAAAAAAAAUUAAAAGACAAGUCACGUAUAAAGUAUUAAUCAUAUUUUAUCAUCUAACAACAAUGAAAAUACUAAUUAUAAAAAAUUUCAUAUAAGACAGAUAGUCAAACGUUGGACACGAAAACCCAGGUUUNGUCUUCUU
rnacentral:pre_miRNA from 1 species